AAUAGGAGAAUGACAAAUCAGAUUUUUCCUCCUAAUUUUUAGUUUUUUUCUCUUGAAAAAAAUUCAAAUCUAACUGAAAAUGCUAAAAAUUAAGAGGAAAAAUCUGAUUUGUCAUUCUUCUAUU
rfam:Gossypium hirsutum cultivar TM-1 chromosome 18, whole genome shotgun sequence